AUGCACGCUAGCGAUAGGCUUAACACAUGCAAGUCGCGGGGCAGCACAAGGUAGCUUGCUAUCUGGGUGGCGACCGGCGCACGGGUGCGUAACGCGUAUGCAACUUGCCCUAUACAGGAGGAUAACCCGUCGAAAGACGGACUAAUACUGCGUAUGCUCACAACUUGGCAUCAAGUGGUGAGGAAAGAAAUUCGGUAUAGGAUAGGCAUGCGUCCCAUUAGCUUGUUGGUGAGGUAACGGCUCACCAAGGCAACGAUGGGUAGGGGAACUGAGAGGUUUAUCCCCCACACUGGUACUGAGACACGGACCAGACUCCUACGGGAGGCAGCAGUGAGGAAUAUUGGUCAAUGGGCGCGAGCCUGAACCAGCCAAGUCGCGUGAAGGAUGACUGUCUUAUGGAUUGUAAACUUCUUUUAUACGGGAAUAACAAGAGUCACGUGUGACUCCCUGCAUGUACCGUAUGAAUAAGCAUCGGCUAACUCCGUG
rnacentral:rRNA from 1 species